UCUCGGACUAUAUUUUUUUUUUGGUGGUCUGCUGUUUCUUAAAAAUCUAUCAAGCAAACCAUUCUAGUUAGAAGUAUGAUAAAAUCUGAACUCAUAGCUCUUGAUACUAUCUGUUCUGAAGCCAAAUGGCUUAAAGAUCUUCUAUUUGAAAUUUCUUUAAUUUCAUCUCCUAUUCUUUCUAUUUUAAUCCAUUGUGACUCUAGAGCUAUAAUAGAUUUUUGAAAAUAGAAACUUAUAAAUUCAAAGACAAAUAGACAUAUAAAAGUAAGACAAAAGUCUAUAAGAAAACAAAAAACCCUUGAUAU
rnacentral:lncRNA from 1 species